rnacentral:miRNA from 1 species
UGAUAUGUUUGGUAUAUUAGGUUG